UCCGUUUCUCUCUGCUCCCACUGUGAUUUUGGUGGGGUCUCCUCCAAACAGAGCAAUGUUCUUCUGAACCCAGCCCAGAGCAGCUGCCUGGUCCUGCAACCCAAAAUUCCCCGGCAGAGCACUGGAACCUACACAGAGUCAAUAGAGUUCAAUUCAUCAGGCACAUCCAAAUGUGUUUUCCACACACAGAUUAAAACUAUGACGCAAGAAGAUUUGCAAUAAAUGACUGAAAAAUUACCUUUUCGUUAUAACCAGCAUGUGAAAGUCGAUCCAUUAUACAAUAAUAAUAAUAAUAAUAAUAAUAAUAAUAAUAAUCUUUUAAAUGUUUAAUAAAAUAUUCCCAGCUCCACAGGGGUUUGGCUGGGAAAUACCACGGUCACAAACAGUUCAAGAAACUUAAGGAAGCCAAUCAGGCUUCUGCACAGCUUUCACUGCUUGUUGUUUUUGGCUGGACAAUGAAAGCUCAUCCUGGCAGACCACUCAAAGGCACCAGUUAGGCCUCCUUUUCAAACUUACUCAGCCAAGGGUGGCAAAGGGGAAAAGAAUCUGAAUAUUUUCACAACCACUGUGCGGAAUGGAACUUCUCACAUGGACAUUACGUAACCAUAUUCCAUAACCAUAUCCACUCCAUUUUUUUUGGAAUUCCAUUUUAUGGAAUAAAUUAUCCAGUUUUUGCAAUACAUCAUUUCUAACCUAACAGAGCUUCCAGGACACAGUAUAAUUCCAGUGUAGGAUAUAUAAUAAAACUGUCUUCAUAACAUUGAGAUUCAUUCCUUAAAGUAUUUUCAGGACUUUUCAACAUAAAGUGUCUAGGGAGGCAUUUUCAUUUUUGAUGCAUGGAAAUUCGGACAGGGGACACCGGCCCUCCAGGACCGAGUGUGGUGACCCCUGCUAAAGAAGAUUUUAUUCAGGGCUCAUAAUAGUGAAGACUCUAUUAUGUACUACAUUCUAUAUUAUAUGUGGCUCUAUGCCAAGGGUUUUCAGUCUUUACAGUUCGAGAACCCAGAACCCAUGUUUAUUAUCCAAUGGAUGUACAUUGAAAUGUUUAUUUUCUUAUAAAUAAAUUAAUACUUUUAUUCA